AGUGAACGCUGGCGGUAGGCCUAACACAUGCAAGUCGAACGGCAGCACAGUAAGAGCUUGCUCUUACGGGUGGCGAGUGGCGGACGGGUGAGGAAUACAUCGGAAUCUACUUUUUCGUGGGGGAUAACGUAGGGAAACUUACGCUAAUACCGCAUACGACCUACGGGUGAAAGCAGGGGAUCUUCGGACCUUGCGCGAUUGAAUGAGCCGAUGUCGGAUUAGCUAGUUGGCGGGGUAAAGGCCCACCAAGGCGACGAUCCGUAGCUGGUCUGAGAGGAUGAUCAGCCACACUGGAACUGAGACACGGUCCAGACUCCUACGGGAGGCAGCAGUAGGGAAUAUUGGACAAUGGGCGCAAGCCUGAUCCAGCCAUGCCGCGUGGGUGAAGAAGGCCUUCGGGUUGUAAAGCCCUUUUGUUGGGAAAGAAAAGCAGCAGGUUAAUCCCCCGCUGUUUUGACGGUACCCAAAGAAUAAGCACCGGCUAACUUCGUG
rnacentral:rRNA from 1 species